CUGGGUGUAGCGCAGACUGGUAGCGCACGUGAUUUGGGAUCACGGGGUCGCAGGUUCGAACCCUGCCACCUAGACCA
rnacentral:tRNA from 1 species